rnacentral:rRNA from 1 species
CGUAGGGAGCAAGCGUUGUUCGGAUUUACUGGGCGUAAAGGGCGCGUAGGCGGCGCGGUAAGUCACUUGUGAAAUCUCUGAGCUUAACUCAGAACGGCCAAGUGAUACUGCAGUGCUAGAGUGCAGAAGGGGCAAUCGGAAUUCUUGGUGUAGCGGUGAAAUGCGUAGAUAUCAAGAGGAACACCUGAGGUGAAGACGGGUUGCUGGGCUGACACUGACGCUGAGUGCGCGAAAGCCAGGGGAGCAAACGGGAUUAGAUACCCCGGUAGUCCUGGCCCUAAACGAUGAAUACUUGGUGUCUGGAGUUUCAAUACUCCGGGUGCCGUCGCUAACGUUUUAAGUAUUCCGCCUGGGGAGUACGCUCGCAAGAGUG